GGAUAAGAAAAAACAAGAUAGUGGUGCUUUGCUUAAAUUUCUCAGCCCUCAGGCUCUUCCUAAGGAUACCUCCACUGAUGAAGCUACACCAUCAACUUCAUCCUCAACAUCAACCGAUGCAUCACU